CAUACCUCAUUUAGGUACGUUUUCCUGAGCAGUUACUCGCUCCAGCUCCGCCUUAAUCUAAACAGGAAGCCUGUUGGACCUUAGUGCAGCUGAAAGCAAGCCCUUUGGACCCUAGUGUAGUUGUAAGCAAGCGGGUCGGAUCUGCUAGCUAUCUGCUGGAGAAGCAGCAACACCGCCUCUGGAUCAGUUGGAUUUGCAGCCUAGGUGUGACCAGCUGUAGGCAUAGCAGCUUGUAUUUCACGCCAAAACGCAAGUGAAGGAAUGUCGCCAACAUAAAAAGGUCAAUGUGUCGACUAAAGGACCUCUACAGGGUUGUUGUCAAUGUAGGUCCCUGACGUCUUCAGUCGGCUGCCAGUCUGUUUAGUUAGUUAACCCAUCUCUUCCUGCAUCAGACCACCAUCACCCUCCUGCAUCACACCCAGGCACCCUCCUCACACACCUGGCCAAUCGCUUGCUCUGAACAGCGUUACCAUGGACACCGAGUCCACCCACUCUGGCUACUCCAACAGAUCCAACAGACAUGGGGAGCAGAGUCGGCAUGAGCGGCGUAAGCUCAGCAGUAAGGACAGCAGCCGGUCAGAGCGGUCUGUAAUCAUCAACAGCCCCUACGGGCCCACUCAGGCCUCCCCCAACCACAACAGCGAGCCCCUGCUAGAAGUCCCCAGCUCUGUGGCUGGAGACGAGGCUCCAAGCCUCCAGGUAAGCUCCAACCUAACAAAUCAAAACUCACACAAACCAUGCCUGAGAGAUUCAAAAAUCCC
rnacentral:lncRNA from 1 species